rnacentral:rRNA from 1 species
CGGCGAGCGGCGGACGGGUGAGUAAUGCCUAGGAAUCUGCCUGGUAGUGGGGGAUAACUCGGGGAAACUCGAGCUAAUACCGCAUACGUCCUACGGGAGAAAGCGGGGGAUCUUCGGACCUCGCGCUACCAGAUGAGCCUAGGUCGGAUUAGCUAGUUGGUGAGGUAAAGGCUCACCAUGGCGACGAUCCGUAGCUGGUCUGAGAGGAUGAUCAGCCACACUGGAACUGAGACACGGUCCAGACUCCUACGGGAGGCAGCAGUGGGGAAUAUUGGACAAUGGGCGAAAGCCUGAUCCAGCCAUGCCGCGUGUGUGAAGAAGGUCUUCGGAUUGUAAAGCACUUUAAGUUGGGAGGAAGGGCAGUAAGUUAAUACCUUGCUGUUUUGACGUUACCGACAGAAUAAGCACCGGCUAACUUCGUGCCAGCAGCCGCGGUAAUACGAAGGGUGCAAGCGUUAAUCGGAAUUACUGGGCGUAAAGCGCGCGUAGGUGGUUUGAUAAGUUGGAUGUGAAAGCCCCGGGCUCAACCUGGGAAUUGCAUCCAAAACUGUCUGACUAGAGUAUGGCAGAGGGUGGUGGAAUUUUCCUGUGUAGCGGUGAAAUGCGUAGAUAUAGGAAGGAACACCAGUGGCGAAGGCGACCACCUGGGCUAAUAACUUGACACUGAGUGCGAAAGCGUUGGGGAGCAAACAGGAUUAGAUACCCUGGUUAGUCCACGCCGUAUACGAUGUCCGACUA